rnacentral:rRNA from 1 species
UACGUAGGGUGCGAGCGUUGCCCGGAUUUAUUGGGCGUAAAGGGCGCGUAGGCGGCCACGCACGUCCGUUGUGAAAUCGCCCGGCUCAACUGGGCGGGGUCAGCGGAUACGGUGUGGCUCGAGCAAGCUAGGGGGUAAUGGAAUUCCCGGUGUAGUGGUGGAAUGCGUAGAUAUCGGGAAGAACACCCGUGGCGAAGGCGGCUCUCUGGGACGGUACUGGACGCGUGAGAC